rnacentral:rRNA from 1 species
AGUGGGGAAUAUUGCACAAUGGGGGAAACCCUGAUGCAGCCAUGCCGCGUGUGUGAAGAAGGCUUUCGGGUUGUAAAGCACUUUCAGCGAGGAGGAAAGGGUGAUGGUUAAUAUCCAUCAUCUGUGACGUUACUCGCAGAAGAAGCACCGGCUAACUCCGUGCCAGCAGCCGCGGUAAUACGGAGGGUGCGAGCGUUAAUCGGAAUUACUGGGCGUAAAGCGCGCGUAGGUGGUUAAUUAAGUCAGAUGUGAAAGCCCAGGGCUCAACCUUGGAACUGCAUUUGAAACUGGUUGACUAGAGUUUGUAGAGGGUGGUAGAAUUUCAGGUGUAGCGGUGAAAUGCGUAGAGAUCUGAAGGAAUACCAGUGGCGAAGGCGGCCACCUGGACAGAGACUGACACUGAGGCGCGAAGGCGUGGGGAGCAAACGGGAUUAGAUACCCCGGUAGUCCACGCAGUAAACGAUGUCUAUUAGAAGUUUGUGGCUAUAUGCCGUGGGUUUCAAAGCUAACGCAUUAAAUAGACCGCCUGGGGAGUACGGCCGCAAGGUUAAAACUCAAAUGAAUUGACGGGGGCCCGCACAAGCGGUGGAGCAUGUGGUUUAAUUCGAUGCAACGCGAAGAACCUUACCAUCCUUGACAUCCAGAGAAUCUGUUAGAGAUAGUAGAGUGCCUUCGGGAACUCUGAGACAGGUGCUGCAUGGCUGUCGUCAGCUCGUGUUGUGAAAUGUUGGGUUAAGUCCCGCAACGAGCGCAACCCUU